UACGUAGGUGGCGAGCGUUGUCCGGAUUUAUUGGGUUUAAAGGGUGCGUAGGCGGCCCUGUAAGUCAGUGGUGAAAUACGGCAGCUCAACUGUCGAGGUGCCAUUGAUACUGCGGGGCUUGAGUGUUGACGAGGCAGGCGGAAUUGACGGUGUAGCGGUGAAAUGCUUAGAUAUCGUCAAGAACACCGACAGCGAAGGCAGCUUGCCAGGCAACAACUGACGCUCAGGCACGAAAGUGCGGGGAU
rnacentral:rRNA from 1 species